rnacentral:rRNA from 1 species
AGCGACGCCGCGUGGGGGAUGAAGGGCUUCGGUCCGUAAACCCCUGUCAUCUGUGAACAAUGCUUUCAGCCUAACACGUUGAAAGUUGAUAGUAGCAGAAGAGGAAGGGACGGCUAACUCUGUGCCAGCAGCCGCGGUAAUACAGAGGUCCCAAGCGUUGUUCGGAUUCACUGGGCGUAAAGGGUGCGUAGGUGGCGGGGAAAGUUUGAUGUGAAAUCUCCGAGCUCAACUCGGAAACGGCAUUGAAUACUACUCUGCUCGAGGUUUGGAGGGGGGACUGGAAUUCUCGGUGUAGCGGUGAAAUGCGUAGAUAUCGAGAGGAACACCAGUGGCGUAGGCGAGUCCCUGGACAAAUCCUGACACUGAGGCACGAAAGCUAGGGUAGCAAACAGGAUUAGAUACCCUGGUAGUCCUAGCUGUAAACGGUGCACGUUUGCUGUGGGCGGAUUCGACCCCGUCCGUGGCGAAGCUAACGCGUUAAACGUGCCGCCUGGGGAGUACGGUCGCAAGAUUA